ACAGGUAAGACAUUUGGUUCAUAUUCCUGGUUUGGUUAUAUCUUCUGUCUCCAGAUCUUGUGAUGGGGUUGUUCCCCAGCAUAGUUGCAAGCAGGGUGUUGUUGAAGACUCAGUUUUCUCCAGCAACAGUUUUCCCCAAUAGAGUUGCUUAUGCAGUUGGAUUCUACUUGGAUGAAGUUAUUCUCCUUCAGUGGGUUGUUCCCCGGAGUUGCAAAGCUCUUUGUUUCUCAGUUGAUGCUGAGAUCCCCUGCGGAUCUUCGAGAUUUUCU
rnacentral:lncRNA from 1 species